rnacentral:lncRNA from 10 species
AAUACUUCCACGUGUAUUACCUACAAACAAAAACAUUCUCCUAAGUAAUCAUAAUACAAUCAUCAUACUCAGGAUAUUUAACAUGGAGGAAAACAAAUUUUAUUACAGCGUGUGUCUGGAUUUUUGGUUUGGAAUAUAGAGUUUCUUUUAGUCUGGAUACCCUGCUGAUUAUGCCUAUGGUAAAGUGAGCUGACUAACAAUAUAGCUCCAUUACUAAAAAUCAUGAGUAAAUAUCUCUAAAUAAUUAACUAUUGCAAUUCCAUUUUGAUCAAAGUGCAAUUUCAACACAGGUGCCUGAUAGAGAAUCUGGUUUGGAACUGAAGUACUUAGUACCUCAGGAAAACUUAUUAAAAUGUUUUAGUGUGGCUGCUCGGGCACACACGAGGGACAGCGGGUGGGGGGGAAAGUAACCCUAUCCAAUUCCUGACAUUGCAGCCCCCUCACACCCGCUCUGAUCUCCAUUACAUCCUGGGAUUGAAUGGCCCUAUAAAAAUGUCCACCGUGAAAGACAGAUUCAAAAACUGAAGAAACAGUAUCCUGAAUCCCUUUCCAGUUUAGAAAUUAUUAUUUCAGUGGUUACAUUUCAAUUUUUGCAUGGUAGCUAAUUUAAGAAAACCUCAAAUUACUAUUGCAAUCCUUCUCUAUCAAUGCAAUAACUUUUAUACACACUGGGAAAUCAAAUAACUUGUUCAGCUCACUUUAUUGUAAUAUUUGCUUUACUGUGAU